rnacentral:snRNA from 14 species
AUCGCUUCUCGGCCUUUUGGCUAAGAUCAAGUGUAGUAUCUGAUUUGGUCAUCCUUCGUGUGUUUAUGGCGGCAAUAUCCAAG